AGAUGGAGGGUGUGGUUUUGUGAAGUCAGUUCCGGUCGGUGUAAAACCCUAGGGGCGGCGGCGGACAAGCUUCAGAUGCUUCUGGGUCGCGGUGGGAACACUCCUGGGUCCGUCUGUGUGAGCUUGAGAGCCGAGCGCUAGAGCGACCCGGCGAGGGAUGGCCGCCACCGGGACCGCGGCCACCGCGGCCACGGGCAAACUCCUGGUCGUGCUGCUGCUCGGGCUCACAGCUCCCGCCGCGGCGCUGGCCGGCUACAUUGAGGCCCUCGCAGCCAGCGCUGGAACAGGAUUCGCUGUCGCUGAGCCUCAGAUCGCAAUGUUCUGUGGGAAGUUAAACAUGCAUGUAAACAUCCAGACUGGGAGGUGGGAGCCUGACCCAGCGGGCACCCAGAGCUGCUUCGGCACAAAAGAAGAAGUUCUCCAGUACUGUCAGGAGAUGUAUCCAGAGCUACAGAUCACAAAUGUGAUGGAGGCAAACCAGCCGGUCAGCGUGGACAACUGGUGCCGGAGGGACAAGAAGCAGUGCAAGAGCCACAUCGUGAUCCCCUUCAAGUGUCUCGUGGGUGAAUUUGUCAGUGAUGUUCUGCUAGUUCCAGAGAAGUGCCUGUUUUUCCACAAGGAGCAGAUGGAGGUGUGCGAGAAUCACCAGCGCUGGCACACGGUGGUCAAAGAGGCCUGCCUCACUCAGGGGAUGACCUUGUACAGCUACGGCAUGCUGCUGCCCUGCGGGGUGGACCAGUUCCACGGCACCGAGUACGUCUGCUGCCCGCAGACAAAGGUGGUCCAAACCUCGGUGUCCAAAGAGGACGAGGAGGAUGACGACGAUGACGACGACGACGAGGAUGAGGAGGAAGACUACGAUGUUUAUAAAAGUGAGUUCCCUACCGAAGCAGAUCUGGAAGACUUCACAGAGGCAGCUGCAGAUGAGGACGACGAGGAGGAGGGGGAGGAGGUGGUGGAAGACCGCGACUACUACUACGACUCCUUCAAGGGAGAUGACUACAAUGAGGAGAGCCCCACCGAGCCUGGCAGCGACGGGGCCGCCGCGGAGGAGGAGAUCACGCAUGACGUCAGAGCUGUCUGCUCCCAGGAGGCGCUGACGGGGCCGUGCCGGGCCGUGAUGCCCCGCUGGUACUUCGACCUCUCCAAGGGGAAGUGCGUGCGCUUUAUAUAUGGUGGCUGCGGCGGCAACAGGAACAAUUUUGAGUCUGAGGAUUAUUGUAUGGCUGUGUGUAAAGCGAUGACUCCCCCAACUCCUCUGCCCACCAAUGACGUCGACGUGUAUUUCGAGACGUCUGCAGACGACAAUGAGCACGCACGCUUCCAGAAGGCCAAGGAACAGCUGGAGAUCCGCCACCGCAACCGGAUGGACAGGGUGAAGAAGGAAUGGGAAGAGGCUGAACUUCAAGCGAAGAACCUCCCCAAAGCAGAGAGGCAGACUCUCAUUCAGCACUUCCAGGCCAUGGUGAAGGCGCUGGAGAAGGAGGCAGCCAGCGAGAAGCAGCAGCUGGUGGAGACGCACCUGGCGCGUGUGGAGGCCAUGCUCAACGACCGCCGCCGGGUGGCGCUGGAGAACUACCUGGCGGCCCUGCAGUCCGACCCUCCGCGGCCCCAUCGCAUCCUGCAGGCCUUGCGGCGCUACGUCCGUGCUGAGAACAAAGACCGCCUCCACACCCUCCGUCACUACCAGCACGUGCUGGCUGUCGACCCCGAGAAGGCGGCCCAGAUGAGGUCCCAGGUGAUGACGCAUCUCCAUGUGAUUGAAGAACGGCGGAACCAGAGUCUCUCCCUGCUCUACAAAGUCCCGUAUGUGGCCCAAGAGAUCCAAGAGGAAAUCGAUGAACUGCUUCAAGAACAGCGAGCCGACAUGGACCAGUUCAGCUCCUCCUUCUCAGAAACCCCCGUGGACGUGCGGGUGAGCUCUGAGGAGAGCGACGAGAUCCCACCGUUCCGCCCCCUCCAUCCCUUCCCAUCCCUGCCUGAGAAUGAAGACUCUCAGCCGGAGUUGUACCACCCAAUGAAGAAAGGAUCCGCGCUGGGAGAGCAGGACGGAGGACUGAUCGGGGCCGAGGAGAAGGUGAUCAACAGCAAGAAGAAAGUGGAUGAAAACAUGGUCAUUGAUGAGACCCUGGACGUGAAGGAGAUGAUUUUCAAUGCUGAGAGAGUCGGAGGCCUCGAGGAAGAACCGGAGUCUGUGGGGCCGCUGCGGGAGGACUUCAGCCUGAGCAGCAGCGCCCUCAUCGGCCUGCUGGUCAUCGCGGUGGCCAUCGCCACCAUCAUCGUCAUCAGCCUCGUGAUGCUGAGGAGGAGGCAGUACGGCAGCAUCAGCCAUGGCAUCGUGGAGGUCGACCCGAUGCUCACCCCAGAAGAGCGUCACCUGAGCAAGAUGCAGAACCAUGGCUACGAAAACCCAACCUACAAAUACCUGGAGCAGAUGCAGAUUUAAGCAGGGGAAGCGCAGCGCCAGUGGAGGGAGGUUGGGCGGGCAGCAGACGUCCAGAGGUCUGGAUGGACGAUGGACCGACAGUGACUUCCAGAGGAGUUCCUCGACACUCAGAUCUCCUGGAGCAUUAAGACUAUAAAGUACUACUGUAGAGUCACAAUUUCCAUUCUUUUAAAUGGGCGAAAAAAAUGUUAAUAUAACAAUAUAUGAUAUAUAAACCUUAAAUGAACAAAUGAUCUAUUGCAGAUAUUUGACUGAUGUAGUUUUCUUUUUUUAAAUUAAUCAGGAAUCUCACUUCUGUUGUAUCGUCUCACACAUGCUCUCUAUUGAAAUGGAAAUGUUGAUUGUCAAUGAUAGACUGAACAUGCUACAUGCAGGCCGUUUGUUCCAGCUGCACUGUGUAAACCAGCUCUUUAAGGCUCACUGUCCUGGUUUUUAUUUAAAAAAAAAGAAGAAGAGGCAGUAUUCCAUUUAAAUGGGCUUUCAGAAGGUUGCUGACAAGCCGAAUCAGGAGCCGUAAUUAUUGGUCCUUAAAGUACAUCACCAUCCCCUCUCAAAAUUCCUUUGAAGGACCCUUUCUCGGAGGUCUGGUGCUCCCACCGCUGGGUACCAGGGUGUCUUCACACAAGUCCUGUCACCAGAGAGGCGCUCAGAGCAAGCAUUUGCGCUUCAGCAUCUCUCCGCAAGCCUGUGUGUGCAGAGCAGGCCCACUGCUGCGCUCCUUCUCAAUCCAGUUCUUCCACAGAAAUUAGCCUGUCGUUGGUACCUGACGUCCUUCCUCUGUCUGCCGUUGACUCACCGUAGCUUCUGACCACGCACGUCCUUCCCAAGUGAUGUCUAGAUGUGCUGUUUUCCUCUCUGGGUAAUUCCCGGCCCCUCUCCCCCGCCAAGGCACUGGUCCGCACCAUCCACUGGGAGGAGACGGCAGAAGAGACGGCCAGCGGCCCGGGGAGGACCGGGGAGGUUUGCUUUUCUGUGGAAGGUGGAGGUUCCAAGCUGUACACGAAAUGACCUGUAGACCCCAUGGAAGCUCCAAAAGUUUCGUUUCAUUCACAUGAGUCUCUGUGAUGCUUGUGUAGUUGAUGUUGCUGCUCACAGCUGCUUCUUUUCCUUUUUUUUUUUUUUUGAUUCAGAAGGUUCUGGUAACCUGUGGUGUAUCUUUUUUUUCUAUUUCCCUGUGAUGUUUUUUUUCUUCUUCCUCCCCUUUACCCAUCCAUGUCUCUUCCCACUAUGCACAGAUAAACUUCACCUACAAACUCCUUAAUCUGAUCUGUGGAGAAUGUACAGAGUUUAAACACAUCAAUAAAUACUUUAACUUCCA